CGAACGGGUGAGUAACGCGUGGGAAACCUGCCCUUGAGCGGGGGAUAACGUUCCUAACGGGGCGCUAAUACCGCAUAAUACCGGGACCAGGCAUCUGGAUCCGGUCAAAGAUGGCCUCUAUUUAUAAGCUGUCACUUAAGGAUAGUCCCGCGUCCGAUUAGCUUGUUGGUGGGGUAACGGCCCACCAAGGCUACGAUCGGUAGCCGGCCUGAGAGGGUGUCCGGCCACACUGGGACUGAGAUACGGCCCAG
rnacentral:rRNA from 1 species